rnacentral:rRNA from 1 species
GGGUUGUGAGGUUAAGCGAAUAAGCGUACACGGUGGAUGCCUAGGCAAUCAGAGGCGAUGAAGGACGUGCUAAUCUGCGAAAAGCGUCGGUAAGGUGAUAUGAACCGUUAUACCCGACGAUAUCCGAAUGGGGAAACCCAGUAUCCAAUGGAUACUAUCAUUAACUGAAUCCAUAGGUUAAUGAGGCGAACCGGGAGAACUGAAACAUCUCAGUACCCCGAGGAAAAGAAAUCAACCGAGAUUCCCCUAGUAGCGGCGAGCGAACGGGGAGCAGCCCAGAGUCUUAAUCAAUAACAGUGUCAGGAGAACGGUCUGGAAAGUCCGGCAGUAAAGGGUGAUAGCCCCGUAUCUGAAGAUGCUGUUAUUGUGAACUCGACGAGUAGGGCGGGACACGUGUUAUCCUGUCUGAAUAUGGGGGGACCAUCCUCCAAGGCUAAAUACUCCUGAUUGACCGAUAGUGAACCAGUACCGUGAGGGAAAGGCGAAAAGAACCCCGGCGAGGGGAGUGAAAAAGAACCUGAAACCGUGUACGUACAAGCAGUAGGAGCCUCUUUAUGGGGUGACUGCGUACCUUUUGUAUAAUGGGUCAGCGACUUAUAUUCUGUAGCGAGGUUAACCGCAUAGGGGAGCCGUAGGGAAACCGAGUCUUAACUGGGCGAAUGAGUUGCAGGGUAUAGACCCGAAACCCGGUGAUCUAUCCAUGGGCAGGUUGAAGGUUGGGUAACACUAACUGGAGGACCGAACCGACUAAUGUUGAAAAAUUAGCGGAUGACUUGUGGAUGGGGGUGAAAGGCCAAUCAAACCGGGAGAUAGCUGGUUCUCCCCGAAAGCUAUUUAGGUAGCGCCUCGUGAACUCAUCUUCGGGGGUAGAGCACUGUUUCGACUAGGGGGUCAUCCCGACUUACCAACUCGAUGCAAACUGCGAAUACCGAAGAAUGUUAUCACGGGAGACACACGGCGGGUGCUAACGUCCGUCGUGAAGAGGGAAACAACCCAGACCGCCAGCUAAGGUCCCAAAGUCAUGGUUAAGUGGGAAACGAAGUGGGAAGGCUCAGACAGCCAGGAUGUUGGCUUAGAAGCAGCCAUCAUUUAAAGAAAGCGUAAUAGCUCACUGGUCGAGUCGGCCCGCGCGGAAGAUGUAACGGGGCUAAACCAUGCACCGAAGCUGCGGCAGCGACACAAAGUGUUGUUGGGUAGGGGAGCGUUCUGUAAGCCUGCGAAGGUGUACUGUGAGGUAUGCUGGAGGUAUCAGAAGUGCGAAUGCUGACAUAAGUAACGAUAAUGCGGGUGAAAAACCCGCACGCCGGAAGACCAAGGGUUCCUGUCCAACGUUAAUCGGGGCAGGGUGAGUCGACCCCUAAGGCGAGGCUGAAAAGCGUAGUCGAUGGGAAACGGGUUAAUAUUCCCGUACUGGUGGUAACUGCGAUGGGGGAACGGAGAAGGCUAGGUUGUCCGGGCGACGGUCGUCCCGGUUCAAGCAGGUAGGCAGAGUGAUUAGGCAAAUCCGGUCACUUAAUGCUGAGAUGUGAUGACGAACCACUAAGGUGGUGAAGCAAUUGAUGCCCCGCUUCCAGGAAAAGCCUCUAAGCUUCAGGUUACCAACAAUCGUACCCCAAACCGACACAGGUGGUCAGGUAGAGAAUACUCAGGCGCUUGAGAGAACUCGGGUGAAGGAACUAGGCAAAAUGGUGCCGUAACUUCGGGAGAAGGCACGCUGGCGGUAGGUAAAGUCCCUUGCGGACGGCGCUGAAGCCAGUCGAAGAUACCAGCUGGCUGCAACUGUUUAUUAAAAACACAGCACUGUGCAAACACGAAAGUGGACGUAUACGGUGUGACGCCUGCCCGGUGCUGGAAGGUUAAUUGAUGGGGUCAGCCGUAAGGCGAAGCUCCUGAUCGAAGCCCCAGUAAACGGCGGCCGUAACUAUAACGGUCCUAAGGUAGCGAAAUUCCUUGUCGGGUAAGUUCCGACCUGCACGAAUGGCGUAAUGAUGGCCAGGCUGUCUCCACCCGAGACUCAGUGAAAUUGAACUCGCUGUGAAGAUGCAGUGUACCCGCGGCAAGACGGAAAGACCCCGUGAACCUUUACUAUAGCUUGACACUGAACAUUGAGCCUUGAUGUGUAGGAUAGGUGGGAGGCUUUGAAGUGUGGACGCCAGUCUGCAUGGAGCCAACCUUGAAAUACCACCCUUUAACGUUUGAUGUUCUAACCUAGGCCCAUAAACUGGGUCGGGGACCGUGUCUGGUGGGUAGUUUGACUGGGGCGGUCUCCUCCUAAAGAGUAACGGAGGAGCACGAAGGUUGGCUAAGCAUGGUCGGACAUCAUGCGGUUAGUGCAAAGGCAUAAGCCAGCUUGACUGCGAGAGUGACGGCUCGAGCAGGUACGAAAGUAGGUCUUAGUGAUCCGGUGGUUCUGAAUGGAAGGGCCAUCGCUCAACGGAUAAAAGGUACUCCGGGGAUAACAGGCUGAUACCGCCCAAGAGUUCAUAUCGACGGCGGUGUUUGGCACCUCGAUGUCGGCUCAUCACAUCCUGGGGCUGAAGUAGGUCCCAAGGGUAUGGCUGUUCGCCAUUUAAAGUGGUACGCGAGCUGGGUUUAGAACGUCGUGAGACAGUUCGGUCCCUAUCUGCCGUGGGCGUUGGAAGAUUGAGAGGGGUUGCUCCUAGUACGAGAGGACCGGAGUGAACGCACCACUGGUGUUCGGGUUGUCAUGCCAAUGGCAUUGCCCGGUAGCUAAGUGCGGAAGAGAUAACCGCUGAAAGCAUCUAAGCGGGAAACUUGCCUCGAGAUGAGUCUUCCCUGUCGCUUUAAGCGACCUAAAGGAACGUUUAAGACUAAGACGUUGAUAGGCUGGGUGUGUAAGCGUAGCGAUACGUUGAGCUAACCAGUACUAAUGAACCGUGAGGCUUAACCUGACAACACCGAAAGUGUUUUG